GUCCUGAAUAAGGUUUGAUGUGCUCAGAUCUCCAGUUCUACAUCUGUGUAGAUAGGCAACAUAGGGCUUUACUCAGGACAGACUGUCCAGCCAUCUUGUCUUCUAGAAGUCUCCUGAAUAGGAUUACACAAGGGCGGAGCUUGACCGCCAUGCGGAGAAGUCUCAUCCACCCGGAGCUCUGAUUGAGUGGCCGACUUUAAGCCUUAUUUGCUGCAAUCCAGC